ACAACAACAACAUACCUAGUAAAAUCCCACUUGACCUUACCCCUACCUCAUCUCGUGGAGGUAGAGAGGUUGUUUCCGAAGGACCCUAAAAUCCAAACUGGAAUGACGAGGCUGUUUACAAAGGACCCUAAAACCCAAACUGGAAUGACGAGUAACUCAGUAGGAUUCGUAUCGUUGAUCCUAAACAGUUUUUAAUUGAGGUAGAGUUGAUGAUCAUCAUUACCACCAGCAUAACAACAAUACUAAUCUCCUAACAGCAAGCAGCUCAAUAUCAAUGGUAAAAGCAAAAAUAAACAUGAAACGAAGGAAUCAACCAUAAGAUUAAGCUAAUACAAAACGAGAAACACACAAACACAUCAACUGAAACCCUAGAAAAACUACAUCAUUGCAGCAAUUGAAAACAUUGAUGAACCC